UCAUGCCCCUUAUGAUUGGGGCUACACACGUGCUACAAUGGACAAUACAAAGGGCAGCGAAACCGCGAGUCAAGCAAAUCCCAUAAAGUUGUUCUCAGUUCGGAUUGUAGUCUGCAACUCGACUACAUGAAGCUGGAAUCGCUAGUAAUCGUAGAUCAGCAUGCUACGGUGAAUACGUUCCCGGGUCUUGUGCACACCGCCCGUCACACCACGAGAGUUUGUAACACCCGAAGCCGGUGGAGUAACCAUUUGGAGCUAGCCGUCGAAGGUGGGACAAAUGAUUGGGGUGAAGUCGUAACAAGGUAGCCCUAUCGGAA
rnacentral:rRNA from 1 species